rnacentral:rRNA from 1 species
UAGGGAAUCUUCCGCAAUGGGCGAAAGCCUGACGGAGCAACGCCGCGUGAGUGAUGAAGGUCUUCGGAUCGUAAAACUCUGUUAUUAGGGAAGAACAAAUGUGUAAGUAACUAUGCACGUCUUGACGGUACCUAAUCAGAAAGCCACGGCUAACUACGUGCCAGCAGCCGCGGUAAUACGUAGGUGGCAAGCGUUAUCCGGAAUUAUUGGGCGUAAAGCGCGCGUAGGCGGUUUGUUAAGUCUGAUGUGAAAGCCCACGGCUCAACCGUGGAGGGUCAUUGGAAACUGGAAAACUUGAGUGCAGAAGAGGAAAGUGGAAUUCCAUGUGUAGCGGUGAAAUGCGCAGAGAUAUGGAGGAAAACCAGUGGCGAAGGCGACUUUCUGGUCUGUAACUGACGCUUAUGUGCGAAAGCGUGGGGAUCAAACAGG